GGCUCAGGAUGAACGCUAGCUACAGGCUUAACACAUACAAGUCGAGGGGGCAGCAUGAAGAUGUGCUUGCACAACUUUGAUGGCGACCGGCGCACGGGUGAGUAACGCGUAUCCAACCUUCCCUAUAGUAGAGAAUAGCCCGGCGAAAGUCGGAUUAAUGCUCUAUGUUCUUCUUUGAUGGCAUCUGACGAGAAGCAAAGGUUCACCGCUAUAGGAUGGGGAUGCGUCUGAUUAGGUAGUCGGCGGGGUAACGGCCCACCGAGCCAUCGAUCAGUAGGGGUUCUGAGAGGAAGGUCCCCCACAUUGGUACUGAGACACGGACCAAACUCCUACGGGAGGCAGCAGUGAGGAAUAUUGGUCAAUGGGCGAGAGCCUGAACCAGCCAAGUAAGCGUGCAGGACGACUGCCCUAUGGGUUGUAAACUGCUUUUAUAGGGGAAUAAAGUGAGGUACGUGUACCUUUUUGUAUGUACCCUAUGAAUAAGGACCGGCUAAUUCCGUGCCAGCAGCGGC
rnacentral:rRNA from 1 species